rnacentral:lncRNA from 1 species
GGAUUUCCUUUUUUUUUCCCCCAAUUAUACAUGAAUCUAUAUAAAGUUUUCACUUGAUAGAAGACAGAGCACACAUAUGAUCCAAUAGUUAGACUGCUCCCAAGAAUAUAUGCGAAAGCCAGACAAUGUGAUGGACAUACACAUCACAGCAACAUAAAGACUUGGAUUUAGAUUUGUUCUGGGAAUUGAACUUGCCCCAAACAGAAAUCUGUCCGUUGCAUAAAGAAGAAAAUACCAGAAAGUGAUUUUGAAUUGAUCUCCCUCAGAAUUUGAAAACUAUCACCUGUUUGGUUUUUUUGUUUGUUUGUUUGUUGUUUUUUUUGUUUUGUUUUUUAUUUUAAAGAAUAGAGAUGUUUUGGAGAGAAUUUUAAAAAGAGACCCUCAGACUUUUUCAACACAUAUAUUAGGUACUCUUAACCCCUGAUCAAUUGUUCCAGCCUCAAAUUUAGACAACUCUUAAAUUAUUCCUACUGCAUUUUCUCACUUCUGCUCUUUUUUUUUUUUUGAUAGAGGCUAGAGUUUUUGAUAAAGAGUGAAUGCUUAAGUGGGGGUCUAUAAUUUCUUUAGUGAAUUUCUUCAUUAUGAAACAUAUUCAUAAUCACCACCUUUUGAGAGCUUUGUAGCAUGAAGUCCAUCAUUCAAUAUCCUAGUGGCCUUCUCAUCUUUAUUGUCCUAGUUUCAUUUCUGUUGCUGGGAUAAACAACCUGAUGAAAUACAAUAUAGGGGAGAAAGGAGUUUAUUCAUCUUACAACUCCAGGUUUCAAUCUGUUAUUGAAAAGAAGUCAAGGCAGGAACUUAAAAGUACCACAUCCACAGGCAAGAGAAUAAAUUCACAGAUCCUUUCUGCCUACUGGUCAGUUCUCACCUAGUCUUCUCUCACACAGCUCCAGGUCCAACCUUGGGAAUAAUACUACCCACAGUGAUGUGGGUCACUUAGCAAUCAGAACAAUUCCCCUGAGAACAUGUCUACAGGUCAAUCUGAUGCAAAUACUUUCUUAAUUAAAAUUAUUUUUCUAGGUGAUUGUAGACUGGGGUAAGUUACUUAAAACUGACCAGUAUGUGUUCCGCAGCUGCAUCGGCAUGCCAUAAGACUACCAAGACUUAGGAAACGUACUCCCAGGUCUUAAAAGAUUUAGAAAUGACAGCACCAAACACAUAGAGCUCUAAGAGAAUCUGCAGGCCUGCUUUUAGUAAGAUAUAAUGCAGUGUGCCAGAAAGAGCUCUUUGCUUACAGCUAUUCCAACUAUGCAACCAGGUCUUACCAUACAAGGUAGCAUCAUUAAAAACUGAUGUGUUCAUGCAGAAAUCCAAACUAACAACUUUAUCAAUUCAUGUGAAGGCUUUUAUUGAGGACUAAAAUAAUAAUAAUAAUAAUCAAUAAUUUGGGCUAGAAAAUGCUCCAGAUACCAAGUUCAUCUACGUAAAGUUUACAGGAUCCACCUUUAUCAUAAGAAUAAAUAAGACUUUGGGACCGUAUCAGAUUUGCCUAAUUCUCAAAAGUCCUAAAAUAUUGGUGGCAAUAAUUGUAUGUUAACCUAAAGUCUUUUUAGUGUCUAGAAAAUACAACUUAGCUGGACAUGAGAUAUAUCCAUUUUGCACAGCCAGUGCCAUCUCACACAUUGCUCAUUCACCCGAUGUUUACAAGAUAUUGUUAAGCUCUCAUUCCCUAUCUGGCGAGCUGAACUGGAGAGGACUCUGGGGAUGAAGUCAGCUAAGCCAUUUUGCUUCACUCCUCUUUCCAUUUAACCUUGAAGUGGCUGAGACCAUCAGUCUCCUUCACAUUGGGGAAGGAAUAUAGCAGCAGCAGCAGUGGCGGCGGCAGCAGAAUAGAUAAAUUUGCCAGCAAGAGAGAAAACAAACAGGCAAAAAGCAAUGUUUCCUUACAUGUACUUCUAUCUGGGCUGUCACCAGAAGGUGUCACCUAGCUUUAGUGUGGGUCUUCCUGCUUCAAAUAGUCUGAUCAAGAAAGUCCUUCACAGGAUUCCACUACAACUAUUCCACAUACAACUGCAAGUCCGUGAUACAUUUUAGAAUAAGUGGCAAAAUCCCUGAGAAAAGCCUUUUAAAUAUGACAAUAUAAAUUAAUAGCACUUAAACACUGCUGUUAUCUCAGUGGAUGUUAAAUUACAUGAUUCUAUAUUCAUUCAUUAGGAUAAAUAUAUUUUAGAGU